rnacentral:rRNA from 1 species
UACGGGGGGGGUAAGCGUUGUUCGGAUUCACUGGGCGUAAAGGGUGCGUAGGUGGUCAGGUAAGUCUGAUGUGAAAGCUCUGGGCUCAACCCAGAAAUGGCAUUGGAUACUAUCUGGCUUGAGGAAUGGAGGGGGGACUGGAAUACUUGGUGUAGCAGUGAAAUGCGUAGAUAUCAAGUGGAACACCAGUGGCGAAGGCGAGUCCCUGGACAUUUCCUGACACUGAGGCACGAAAGCUAGGGGAGCAAACAGG